UCUCUCUCUCUCUCUCUCUCUCUCUCUCUCUCUCUCUCUCUCUCUCUCUCUCUCUCUCUCUGUCCUUUCUUUCUAGCAGUAGCCAAGUCAUUGCCUUUCUGUUGAAGCCUUGUAGAAGACUGAAAUGGCCACAGAUUUCUGGGAAGCCUCACAGUUACAUGAACUAGGAGUUCAGCCUAGAGCCUACCUGUGGAUUUCUGCAUCUACUUCCAUCAGCUACUGGAUGAAGGCAUAUAAGGGGAAGAGCAGUUAAGAAUGGCAGUUACAGCUCUCUGUAAGGAACACAGUGAUGGGAAAACACAACGCUUCACAACCCCUCCAAGAAGUGUUCUGUAAAAGUGACAAGUCUUAGGGAAGAAUGGUUGACAAGGCUCUGAAGAUCUUAGAGGAAAACUUUCCAAAUAUAUCACGAGAGUGAGAAAUGAACAAGAAAAAUAAAUGGAGUCAUGGCUUUCACUGUAA